rnacentral:lncRNA from 1 species
AGUCUCCUGGGCCCUUGGUUAUCUCCAACAGAGUCAUUGGCUUCGAGGUUGGGUUAGCCGUGGUUGGAACCUCCUGAAGAUGAUGUCCAUCCUCAAUUCCAGGCAACUGGAAUUUACUAUGUCUUUUUGUCCUAUUCUGAUUUCUGAGUGCGGUUCUCUGGGAUGCCCUUCAGCAUGGUGAGGUUCAUGGAGAGCUGCUGGAGCUUUAGAAGAAGCUCUGCAGUUUCCACACCUGUUGUGAUGUAGCACUUAGUUCUCUCUCUCUUCCACCUGAGCAUCUCUAUUGACAGGUACAUGGCUGUCACUGACCCUCUGGUCUAUCCCACCUCAUUCACAGUGUCUGGGUCAGAAAUUUGCAUCAGCAUCUCCUGGACUCUGCCCCGACUCUACUAGGGUCUAUGAUCAUGGGUUUCAGGAACUAUCAAUUGAAGGAUGUCAGUAAGAUAUAAAUGACAGCUUAGUAUUCAUAGAUUGUCUUAUUUUUCAGACUUGCCUCUAUUUUACAUAUUGUAUAUAGUCAUAUUUUUAUAGUG